rnacentral:tRNA from 1 species
GUGUUAGUCGUAUAAAGGAAGUAUAUUGUUUUUCCAAAACAAAGGUCUAAUAAGUUUAGUUAAUACA